UACUGACGUGAUGAGAUUGUUUUCGGAAGAUAUUGAUGUCGACUAAAUACAAUUCAGACUACAAUUAUCUGAUCAAUG